rnacentral:rRNA from 1 species
UGGGGAAUAUUGGACAAUGGGCGCAAGCCUGAUCCAGCCAUGCCGCGUGAGUGAUGAAGGCCCUAGGGUUGUAAAGCUCUUUCACCGGUGAAGAUAAUGACGGUAACCGGAGAAGAAGCCCCGGCUACCUUCGUGCCAGCAGCCGCGGUAAUACGAAGGGGGCUAGCGUUGUUCGGAUUUACUGGGCGUAAAGCGCACGUAGGCGGACUUUUAAGUCAGGGGUGAAAUCCCGGGGCUCAACCCCGGAAAUGCCUUUGAUACUGGAAGUCUUGAGUAUGGUAGAGGUGAGUGGAAAUCCGAGUGUAGAGGUGAAAAUCGUAGAUAUUCGGAGGAACACCAGUGGCGAAGGCGGCUCACUGGGCCAUUACUGAAGCUGGGGUGCGAAAGCGUGGGGAGCAAAAAGG